rnacentral:rRNA from 1 species
GUGGGGAAUAUUGGGCAAUGGGGGGAACCCUGACCCAGCGACGCCGCGUGGGUGAAGAAAUCCUUCGGGAUGUAAAGCCCUGUUUUAUGGGAAGAGCGGAAGACGGUACCAUACGAGGAAGCCCCGGCAAACUACGUGCCAGCAGCCGCGGUAAUACGUAGGGGGCAAGCGUUGUCCGGAAUUACUCGGCGUAAAGCGCACGCAGGCUGAAUUAUAAGUCGGUAGUAAAAGGCGGGGGCUCAACUUCCGUAUAUCUAUCGAUACUGUAAAUCUAGAGUAUGUGAGAGGGAAGCGGAAUUCACGGUGUAGCGGUGAAAUGCGUAGAUAUCGGGAGGAACACCAGUGGCGAAGGCGGCUUCCUGGCACAAUACUGACGCUCAUGUGCGAAAGCUAGGGCAGCGAACGGGAUUAGAAACCCUGGUAGUCC